rnacentral:rRNA from 1 species
GAUGAACGCUGGCGGCGUGCUUAACACAUGCAAGUCGAACGAUGAAGCCCAGCUUGCUGGGUGGAUUAGUGGCGAACGGGUGAGUAACACGUGAGUAACCUGCCCUUAACUCUGGGAUAAGCCUGGGAGACUGGGUCUAAUACCGGAUAGGAGCGUCCACCGCAUGGUGGGUGUUGGAAAGAUUUAUCGGUUUUGGAUGGACUCGCGGCCUAUCAGCUUGUUGGUGAGGUAAUGGCUCACCAAGGCGACGACGGGUAGCCGGCCUGAGAGGGUGACCGGCCACACUGGGACUGAGACACGGCCCAGACUCCUACGGGAGGCAGCAGUGGGGAAUAUUGCACAAUGGGCGCAAGCCUGAUGCAGCGACGCCGCGUGAGGGAUGACGGCCUUCGGGUUGUAAACCUCUUUCAGUAGGGAAGAAGCGAAAGUGACGGUACCUGCAGAAGAAGCACCGGCUAACUACGUG